rnacentral:ncRNA from 1 species
ACAGGGGUGGCCUUCUGGCCUGAGACUCGUACCGAGAACCCUUAGAACCUGAUCCGGCUAAUACCGGCGUAGGAAGGAAAUUUU